AGUCGAACGGAGAUACUUCGAUUGAGAGCUUCGGCAGGAUUUUGAUUUAUCUUAGUGGCGGACGGGUGAGUAACGCGUGGGCAACCUGCCCUUUACUGGGGAAUAAUCAUUGGAAACGAUGACUAAUACCGCAUGUCCCCGAGAUAUGGCAUCAUAUUUCGGAAAAAGGAGUAAUCCGGUAAAGGAUGGGCCCGCGUCUGAUUAGCUUGUUGGUGGGGUAACGGCCUACCAAGGCGACGAUCAGUAGCCGACCUGAGAGGGUGAUCGGCCACAUUGGGACUGAGAUACGGCCCAAACUCCUACGGGAGGCAGCAGUGGGGAAUAUUGCACAAUGGGGGAAACCCUGAUGCAGCAACGCCGCGUGAAGGAUGAAGGUUUUCGAAUCGUAAACUUCUAUCAAUAGGGACGAAUAAAAUGACGGUACCUAAAUAAGAAGCCCCGGCUAACUACGUGCCAGCAGCCGCGGUAAAACGUAGGGGGCAAGCGUUAUCCGGAAUUACUGGGUGUAAAGGGUGAGUAGGCGGCAUGGUAAGCCAGAUGUGAAAGCCCGCAGCUUAACUGCGGGACUGCAUUUGGAACUACUAAGCUAGAGUACAGGAGAGGUAAGCGGAAUUCCUAGUGUAGCGGUGAAAUGCGUAGAUAUUAGGAAGAACACCGGUGGCGAAGGCGGCUUACUGGACUGAAGCUGACGCUGAGGCACGAAAGCGUGGGGAGCAAA
rnacentral:rRNA from 1 species